UGAAACCGUUUAGGGGUAAACCUGAGAAACCCGAAAGGUCGAAGGGCGGAAUUCAAUCGCGAAUCGCGGUCGGAACCGUGCGAUCCGGCGACGGACGACGUUCGCGUCGUUCGCGUCUUUCGUGCGGUCGGCCGGUCGCGAACGCGUGCACUUUCCGCCUGGUAGGACGUCGCGAUCCGUCGGGUGUCGGUUUAAGGUCCCGGGUGGAGACCGUCGGCCGGUUUCGGCCGGCCACGGACCCCGGGCGCCCGACCGACUCGCUCGACGGUAACACGAACGGUUCGGGGCCGCUCCGUUCGGGAGCGUCCGGCCCGCGGCAAGCGCGUCAGAUGCACGUCGGCGAUCGGACCCGGUGCCGAUUCCGACCUCUGACGACUGUUCGCCGCGGAGUUCUCGGACAGACCUCGCAUCUUCUCGAAAAACCGAUCGGCGACGCUAUAGCUUUGGGUACUUUCAGGACCCGUCUUGAAACACGGACCAAGGAGUCCAGCAUGUACGCGAGUCAUUGGGAAUCGUUAAACCUAAAGGCGCAAUGAAAGUAAAGAUCUUCCCAGCGAGGAUCGAGGGAAGACGGGCGAGUCGUCGUUAAAAGCGACCGCUCCGCAUUCCCGGGGCGUCUCGUUCUCAUCGCGAGAGGAGGCGCACCAGGAGCGUACACGCUGGGACCCGAAAGAUGGUGAACUAUGCCUGGUCAGGA
rnacentral:rRNA from 1 species